CAGUUCUGCAAGAGAUAAAAAAUAAACAAAAUGGGAGCUGUAUUGGACCAAGAGCAGUCACAGAAUGUGUCUUGAGGCAUUUCAAAUAUGGCUCAGCCCAGCUCAGCCUCACUCAGAAGCUUUCCUUACUGGCCCUGAAAUGACCCUCUUCAGUGGUUCUGCAAGAGAGGGACUGUGAGACCGACAGGUGUUUUGUCUGGAUCUCUGCCUCUGGACUGUUUACAUACCUAAAUUCACAGCCUGGUUCUAGCUAAGGGAUGUACACCAUAAUCCAUCAAUGUGGGAACACCUGUGCACAAUGCACUGGGGGCCACAGAAGCCUCUGCAUAAUAUAAAAAGUCUAAUGUGUUCUACCAUACUGAGUGAAGAAGUAGGGUAAGUAAUGGCUCAUAUUUUAUACUUUCUUUUUUUGCAAUUAAGUAAAUAUUCAUCUUA
rnacentral:lncRNA from 12 species